UACGGGGGGGGCAAGCGUUGUUCGGAAUUACUGGGCGUAAAGGGCUCGUAGGCGGCCAACUAAGUCAGACGUGAAAUCCCUCGGCUUAACCGGGGAACUGCAUCUGAUACUGGAUGGCUUGAGUUCGGGAGAGGGAUGUGGAAUUCCAGGUGUAGCGGUGAAAUGCGUAGAUAUCUGGAGGAACACCGGUGGCGAAGGCGACAUCCUGGACCGGUAUUGACGCUGAGGCGCGAAAGCCAGGGGAGCAAACGGG
rnacentral:rRNA from 1 species